GCUCUUCCUGGCUCUUCGCUUCUUUCUCCUGUCCCUGGCCACCAUGAAGUGAUCAGCUUUCCUCCACCCAUGCACUUCUACCAUACCACUGACCAUGCACAGACUGAAAUGUGUGACACAUGAGCCAAAAUAGCUUUGGAUGUCAGGCAUUGUGUCCCAGUGAUGAGAAAGUGAAUAAUAUGGAUUUUGAUACUGGAAAAUUAUUGCUGUGAUUUACCCGACCAUGUGCUUUAGAAGCCAUUGGAACUGGAAUUGUAGGAGGCUGGCUAGAGAAGACAAACCUUUUGUCUUGACUGUCUUCUUUUUAUACAUCCCUCAUUUAAGUGUACAUCUGGACCUGGGGCCCCAAAAAGGAGAAUACACAGAGCUUGGACUUGUGGCACAAGACAUCCAUGCAUGCACAUGUGUGUGAUACAUAGACCUCUUAUGCUGG
rnacentral:lncRNA from 1 species